rnacentral:lncRNA from 1 species
CUCUUCCUUCCGAGGCAGCGGCGAUGGAGAACGUAGUCUGUGCCCUCCACCCCCGGACGCCUGCACCUCCCCGAUCUCGGCUCACAAGGUCCAGGUGACUCAGGCUGGUCCCCGAAGUGGACGCCUGACCGAACGGGAUGGAUUGCAGUGGCUACACCGAGUGACGGGAGACGUGAACUGUUGCUGCUCUUGCUGCCAGAAGUUACUGUGACCCCCCCCCCCCAACUCAGAUUCUGUGAGAGUUCUUGAUGACAACACUGAGCCAAACCAGCAUGACCCCCUCCUUCAUGGACCAGGAACCUUCAGCACACAGAAGUAUCUAGCAAAGGACCCCAAAAGUGCAAAUGCUAAGGGGAAAGUCUGAGCCACAGUGGGACACUGGACACGGUGCUACCAAGAGGACCUUGGACUGGGCUGAGAUAUCAGUGUGUGUGUGUGUGUGUGUGUGUGUGUGUGAGAGAGAGAGAGAGAGAGAGAGAGAGAGGGAGAGGGAGAGGGAGAGGGAGAGGGAGAGGGAGAGGGAGAGGGAGAGACCUGAAGGAUUAGGGUUAGCAGGCUGAAAUGCAGAUAUCAUGUGGAGAGAAACACUCAGAGAGGGGACUCAGCUUUGGAAAGGGCCAUGUGGCUGGAGCACGGUGGGCUGAGAUGGGGUCAAUAGAGCAUGGUACAUCCCACAUGCUCACACCAAGCUCUUUGCUCUCCACAAGGAUGUGGAGCAUAGGUUUCUGACAUCCAUAGUAUAUCUAGCAAGAGACUGCUUUUCCCCCGAGCUCCCAGACAUUACAGCUUAAAAGAGCUUGGAACCCUGAGAAAAUUCUACUAUUGCACUAACCUUGUAACAUCAAGCCAGCAGAUACUAAGGACAAAGAGUAGGCAAGCCAUUAUAGCACUGCAAAGUCCCCAGUCUGGAAGUUCCAGCUGUACACUUGAGCCAGACGGAAUAAGCUAGCGCGUGGGUAAGCAGCACACUGAUGCUUGCUGUACCAGCCUGGCAGCCUGGCUAAAAAGUGACCACUCCUAAUGAAGCAGAGAGGAGUAGUGGGGAGGUGAGCGGCGUGGGGGAGCCGGCUUUUCUCACUCCACCCACAUUAAAUUCAUAUCCUCUGAAAAAAAUCUGGUACUCGGACCUAUUCAAGUUUGGAGCUAGAAGAACGUGGCUGAAGGAGAUGUAGGUCAUGGAACUGCUAGUGCCUUCCCCAGGCGGAGUCCCUGUCAUUACUAUAGUUAUUGCUUCUCCACCCAUCCUGAGCUUUUAGAGAGACUUGGCAGGUAAGAGAGGGCACUCGCUAGACAGGUCAUAAAAAUGUCUGUCUAAAUAAAUCAGCAGGCAUUCCUGAAUGCCCACAGACACCACCCCUCCCCCCCCCCCAGGCAAAUGCUGCCCUCUUUCCUGGGACAUGUGGAAGAACUAGCCUAAGAAGUGACCUUGGCAUUUGUUUUGCCCAGAUAUUAACAACACGUAUAUGUAACAAUAUGUACAUUAUAUAACUAAGGUUAUAUACAUAUUUGUGUGAGAAAGGAAAAAGAAGUUAUCUGCCAAGAAUGUUUUGCUCAGCACCCAAAGUGCCCCUGGUAUGACCUAGAGAGGUUUCCACAGUGUGACUUUCAAUUGGGCAAAUAUCUAGCUCCUGGAAAAUCAACCUACAGCAAUCAAAGGCUCGUUCAGAGAGUCUAUUGGCACUUCAGU